rnacentral:lncRNA from 1 species
CUGAUGUACAUGGGAAAUUCAUCUUGAAGCCCAGAAACUCAGCAAGAAACCAGCAGCAAAAGAAUAUGAAGGAAAAAACUUUUAAGAAACAAAGAACUUCUAUAACAUCGCAGUUGGACAGGGCUCUGUGCCCCACCAGGACCAAGUAUGCACCACCCCACCAUUUAAAAAGGGAAGAAAACUGUUUGGAAGAGAACUCAGUUCCAUUUGUCAGGAUGGCAUCCUGCCUGGAGCAAUUCUGGACAUGCUGUAUCUACUAAAAAAGAACGGGCUCACAACCACGGGUGUCUUUUUAGAACCUCCGAGUAUAACUUUGUGCCAAACAGUAAAGGACAAAUUGGAUUCGGAAGAGGAGGUGGAUAUGAACAAGC